GCAGAAAAAGCAAACAAAAUAAGAAGGCACCGCAUCGCCCACCACACCGUCACGUGUCGGUGCGUACAUUCCUAUUUCAACAUCUCCAUAUAUAAAUAAAUAAACGUCCCCUCUCUAUCUCUGUCUCUCAGCUUUUCGCUCAGAAAUUGCGCAGAAGUCUCUCUCUCUGUCUCCGCCUCUUCUCUCUCAUUCUCUCAUCCACUGAUUCACUGAUCACUACUUUGAAUUUCUUUUCGCCUCUCCAUAAAUCCAAACGUUCUCUUUUUUCGCGUACAGCAUUAGCCUUGUGGUUACAGUAGCAGUAGGGGGUGGAAGGCGGCGGCGGAGAUACUCAGACGUUAGGUCUGGCAGGGCUUAGGGCAAUAGCGCUGCGUGUAGGCCUGGGCCGUCGCCUCCGGAGAAAGAGGAAGGUGAAGGAUCAGUUGAUGGAAUUGUGGCACAAGAUGAUCUUCCCUGUCCGACGAGCUUGGCUAGCCGUUUCCUCUCGCGUCAAGGCCCGCAAAAAUGGUGGAGGGCUGUUGAAGCUUCAUGACGACGUGCAGACGUGUGAGUAUGAUGAUGUGCAUAGGAUGUGGAAUAUGAUGCUGAGUAGGUCGGAGUCGGAGCACGGAUCUCAACAUACAAAACGGAAGCACCGCCCCUUCUGGAGGGUCUUUGUAUGGUCCAACCACAAUUCAUCCUCCUCCUUUUCCGCCAAACACGCUUAGCAUGUAUCAGCAGCUGCUCUUCUCUUCCCGACGUCCUUCAACUCCAUUGUUUUCACAAUUCCAAGAGCUCCCCCCUGCUACUGCAAAUUAUGCUCAAAUGAGUUGUGUAGUGCCCAAAAAAAAAAAAAUUUGACAAAAUGUCACUUGUAAAUAAAUAAAGCUCAUCCACUGAGGUUGGUUUCUA